GUGCCAGCAGCCGCGGUAAUACAGAGGGUGCGAGCGUUGUCCGGAAUCACUGGGCGUAAAGGGCGCGUAGGUGGCGACCCAAGUCGAUGGUGAAAGCUCGCCGCUCAACGGCGAGUCGGCCACCGAUACUGGGUUGCUCGAGCACUGUAGAGGCUCAUGGAAUUCCGGGUGUAGCGGUGGAAUGCGUAGAGAUCCGGAAGAACACCGGUGGCGAAGGCGGUGAGCUGGGCAGUUGCUGACACUGAGGCGCGACAGCGUGGGGAGCAAACAGGAUUAGAAACCCCCGUAGUCC
rnacentral:rRNA from 1 species